GUUUGAAACAUUUGCAGCUCAUUAAAUUUCCUGUUUCUUCCUGUUUCGGGGUAACAGAGUCAGGUGGGGGACAAAGACCAACCAGAUGGAGACAUGGAGGCUUGAUGCCAGCCUCAGCCCCAGAGAGACGGCAGAUUAAAUCCUCACAGUCAGAAAAACCUUUAAAGCUCCAGAAAUACCACAGUCAGUUUAACCUGAUGAUUAUUUCAGGACUGAUAUUUGAUAUUCAACCUCUGGGACAUUUAGACUUUUAUUAUUAACACAAUAAAUGAUCAAUACUUCCUAAUCAUGAAUCAAUUCUUCAGUUAACAGAAUAAAAUGCAGGAUGAACAUUAACACAUUUUAACACAUUCAGACAGAAACAUUGAACAUGAAAGACAAAAGGCCAUAAUCCUUCAUUUGACUCUUUAUGUCUGAAGAUAAUAACUUUAGUUUGGUUUCUGUCCAGCUUUAGAACAUUAUUAUUAAAACUGAUUGUUUUCUAUAAUUCAAUGAUUCACUGGGUUCAGAUUCACCUGAUGACAUCAUAAUGUAGAGCUGUGUAUCAUCUGAGUUUCUCUUCAUGAUUUCAGAGAAGGAAGAUGCUUCAGAGUUAGAUGUUUUCUUCAUCGUCUCUCUGUAGGUUUUACAAUAAACAAGUCAAGUUUCCCACCAUGUUCCCUCAGACUUUUGAUGAAGAUUUAUUUCACUUCUCAGUGGUGGAGCAAUUUAUUAUUACCAGAAACAAUAACCACUUACAUGGGAGCGUCCAAUCAGCAUCUUCCUCUGAUUAUCCAAUCAUCAUCUUCCUCUGAUUGUCCAAUCAGCAGCUUCCUCUGAUUGUCCAAUCAUCAUCUUCCUCUGAUGGUCCAAUCAUCAUCUUCCUCUGAUUGUCCAAUCAGCAGCCUCCUCUUCUCUGUGGGCUGCAGGGGCUGAUGGGAGCUUUGGUUCCUCUGCUAGAAACCACGUGGCCCUGGUCUGAUCUCUCAGCUCGUCCUUGUUUGGCCUCAGCUGCAUCAGAGCGCCACUUCUCCCCAGGUUCACCAGAGGAAACUCCACUGCACACAAUGCUUUUCCUCCCAGCUGCUGCUCUGUGCUGGCUGGGUUCAGCGCUGGCUGCCAUGGCAACACACCUGGUUCAGGAUUUAACUCUGACCAGGAGAACCGGGCAGAGCGUCUCCUUCAGCUGUGGAGGAACUGAUCAGUGUGGUGGUUAUCCUGUAACCUGGUACCAGAAGAAAGAAACAGAAACAUUCAGAGCUAUUCUCUAUAUCUACAGUGGUGGUAGCCCAGGAAAAAUUUACAAUCAUCCUCAGCAAGAUGAUUUCUCAGCUGAGAGAGAUCAGAGCAGCAGUUCGUUAAAGAUCAACAAAGUUAAACUGGAUCAUUCAGCCUCCUACUACUGCGGCUGUUGGAAGCCUGGUUCCCACAGUGAGAAAUGAUUCCUUCAGCCUGAACAAAAACCUCCAGAUGAUCAGAUGCCAGUUUGUGACAUAGAGAGCAGUAAACCACAGCCCAGGUUCACUGAUUUCACCUCCAUCUCAC